UUCUAUUUUUUCACAACUUCUCCUGCUGAUGGGCCGAUGCUGGCCCCUCCUGCCACCCUGCUUGCUUCAAAAGGCAGCAGGUUUCCAGGCAUGACAGUGCGGGCUCCGACUAUUUGCAAAACAUUUUCUCUUCCCCGGGAGCUCGGAUCCACCGUUCUGAGACCUGGGAGGAAAAAAAAACCCUAAAGCUGCCAGUCUUGGAGAGAGUGUUUUGCAAAGCUCCGGCUGGAGACUGACCCGCUUUGAGGAUUUGAUCCUAUUUCUCCCUUAAUCUUUUAAUUGUGGCGUUUGCUCUGCGUGGGCUCCCGAGGUGGCAGCGCCUGUGCUGUGCUUUGCUCUUGAGCGUGAGUGAUGAUUUUGUUUUCUUCCUUAUUUUUCCUUUUUUUUUUUUUGUCUCAGCUGUGCCUCUCACCGGGAUGCCUGGCCUGCCCUACCUUCUCCCAUCCUGCCCCUGUUGAGGCAGCCGACACAGAGCAUCUUGCUCCUCUUGUCGUGUGUUUCUGAAAACUAAAUAGCUGUGAUUUAACUCAAAGUAGCCAAAAUCGAGGAAAAUAACCUCAGAGCCAAAACCUCUGAGGGUAGCACGUAGGAUGUGGCUGCAGGUGCUGGUCCAGAGACUGGCCCCGGCGCUGGGACUGGGCGAGUCAAGGGCCGUGGCAGGAUUUGGGCAUCGUACAAGGGCUCUGGAGUUCCAACUUUUAGGAAAACCAAAGUGUCUUUCAGGGCACCAGAAGGAGCUUCCCCAGCUGGAAACAGGCGUCAGGGUCAGGUCUCUGUUAAGCUGGCAGCGUUUGGUUUAAAAUGGCAUGUUUUGGCUCUCUGUAAGUCAAUUAGGAAGGAGCUUAUGCAAAGCCGAAUUAAACUACUCUUUUAGACAGCAAUAAGCCAGCGCUGGCCUGGCUCCUUCGAGCGGGAUGGAGCCGGGCUCCUGCCGCGGGUGCAGGGCUGGCAUGUCCCCCCGUGGUGCUGGUGUCGGCCUGGUGGCUCCUGGCUCCUGGUGGGCUCAGCCACACGUGGUCGUGGCACCCGUUGGGCAGCGGGGUGCUUCCCCUGAGGAAGAGGCUUAACGUUUGUCCCGCUGUGCAGCAGCACCUUAAGUCCUGGCAUCCGGGGUGAUGCGGAAAGAGGAGCCGAUCCUUCCUUGGCCUGGAUAAGCGGCGGGUCUGACCUGCCCCAAGAGCACCUGACUGCUGGGUAAUCCCAUGGGGUUAAUCCUGCACCUACCCUUCGCCCGCCAGCUGUGCCGCUCCCCAUCCUGGAUGGUCUCUGAAACAGGGCGGGGGGACUGGUCCCAUCCUUGCCCCCAGCUCCUGGGGAAGCCGUUGGGAUGCUUUGGCCCCACCCCGGGCUGCGCCUGGGCUCCUUCGUGCCGAGGUCCUGGUUUAUUCCCCCGCUUUAGCGAGCGAGGGUUGUAGUCGAGGAAAUUAGAGGCUGCAACGUAACGGUUGUGCAGGUCGGGUCUGGAUUAGGAUUGUCCAGGCGACCUUUCAGCGAGGUGUUUCCUAAUAUUCAUCUCCCGGAGCGAGGGAAGGAGCCAGGGGAUUGUUGCACCUCAAGAAGAGGCCCCAGUGGCGACGCUGUCGGGUUUACGCUGCCGCAGGCUCUGACUUUGUGUCCCCAUGGGGUGGUCGGGGGGGGAACCUCUUGCUUGAUGCUCUCCCCCUUGCGCAGAGGAAGGCACAAAACCAGGAGGAGGAUUUGCACCGAGAAAGGAGAAUCCUGCCCCGAGCCUGGCGGGCACAGGGGGGUGUUUUUGGGUCCCGCCACCCUCCCCGAGGGGUGUCAGCGCGCUGUCACCCUGCCCUCAGUCACACCUCUGCCUCUUGGUCUGUUUGUCUUUCCCCGCCUCCCCGCGCCGCCGUCUUCCGGGUGUCCCUUGGGCCACCUCUCGCCGCCACCACCCCGGCAGCCGAGCGGGCAGCAAGAGGCAGCCUCACCUGCCCAGGUUAAGCAGCCUGUCUUCCCUGGGUGAUUCGUCUUCAGAGCGGAGGUCUCCCGGGCACCACCGCCAGCCCUCCGACUCCUCCGAAACCACCGGUCUGGUCCAGCGCUGUGUCAUCAUCCAGAAGGACCAGCAUGGCUUCGGCUUCACCGUCAGUGGCGACCGCGUCGUCCUGGUGCAGUCGGUGCGACCAGGUGAGAGGGGCCGGUGCUGGCAGCAGGCGGGGGAGGGCA